GAUCAUCACACAUCCUCGGAAUUCUCUUGUUUAGGAAACUUCAAUAUGGCAUUUUCUGGCAAGCUGCUUCUAUCUUCUGGAUUUAGCAACAUAUGAAGCAAUCAUCACAACAACAUUUUUCACUUACUACUAACAAAAGAAGUCUAGACAACAAUUUGUGUUUGCCUACAAAAACAAAAUAGUAGUCAGAGCUCCAACCUGCUGGGCAUUGAUGCAGCCUGCAGUUCCAACACUCAGCAGCCCGAGCAGGAAGAACUUGUGUUUCAGGUUACCCUCAGCUAUGGAAUGGUAGCCUGCCUGUCUCAAGGCAAACAGGAUGUGUGUAACUAUACUUCUGGAUGGUAGCAGUGACGCCAUUUUAACAGUAAAAAGCAACAUUGGCAAGCUUCAGAC